GAUGAACGCUGGCGGCGUGCCUAAUACAUGCAAGUCGAGCGAACGGACGAGAAGCUUGCUUCUCUGAUGUUAGCGGCGGACGGGUGAGUAACACGUGGAUAACCUACCUAUAAGACUGGGAUAACUUCGGGAAACCGUAGCUAAUACCGGAUAAUAUUUUGAACCGCAUGGUUCAAAAGUGAAAGACGGUCUUGCUGUCACUUAUAGAUGGAUCCGCGCUGCAUUAGCUAGUUGGUAAGGUAACAGCUUACCAAGGCAACGAUGCAUAGCCGACCUGAGAGGGUGAUCGGCCACACUGGAACUGAGACACGGUCCAGACUCCUACGGGAGGCAGCAGUAGGGAAUCUUCCGCAAUGGGCGAAAGCCUGACGGAGCAACGCCGCGUGAGUGAUGAAGGUCUUCGGAUCGUAAAACUCUGUUAUUAGGGAAGAACAUAUGUGUAAGUAACUGUGCACAUCUUGACGGUACCUAAUCAGAAAGCCACGGCUAACUACGUG
rnacentral:rRNA from 1 species